GACGAACGCUGGCGGCGUGCUUAACACAUGCAAGUCGAACGAUGAAGCCGGAGCUUGCUCUGGUGAAUUAGUGGCGAACGGGUGAGUAACACGUGAGAAACCUGCCCUUGACUCUGGGAUAACUGCGGGAAACUGUAGCUAAUACCGGAUACGACCCUCGGAGGCAUCUCCUGGGGGUGGAAAGAAUUUCGGUCAAGGAUGGACUCGCGGCCUAUCUGCUAGUUGGUGAGGUAAAGGCUCACCAAGGCGACGACGGGUAGCCGGCCUGAGAGGGUGGCCAGCCACACUGGGACUGAGACACGGCCCAGACUGCUACGGGAGGCAGCAGUGGGGAAUAUUGCACAAUGGGCGCAAGCCUGAUGCAGCAACGCCGCGUGAGGGAUGACGGCCUUCGGGUUGUAAACCUCUUUUAGCAGGGAAGAAGCGAAAGUGACGGUACCUGCAGAAAAAGCACCGGCUAACUACGUGCCAGCCGCCGCCGUAA
rnacentral:rRNA from 1 species